GUGCCAGCCCCGCGGUAAUACGGAGGGAGCUAGCGUUGUUCGGAAUUACUGGGCGUAAAGCGCGCGUAGGCGGCUUUUCAAGUCAGGGGUGGAAUCCCGGGGCUCGACCCCGGAACUGCCCUUGAAACUGGAUGGCUAGAAUACUGGAGAGGUGAGUGGAAUUCCGAGUGUAGAGGUGAAAUUCGUAGAUAUUCGGAAGAACACCAGUGGCGAAGGCGACUCACUGGACAGUUAUUGACGCUGAGGUGCGAAAGCGUGGGGAGCAAACAGGAUUAGAAACCCUUGUAGUCC
rnacentral:rRNA from 1 species